CACGUAGGGCGCAAGCGUUGUCCGGAAUUAUUGGGCGUAAAGCGCACGUAGGCGGAUUGUUAAGUCAGGGGUGAAAUCCUGGAGCUCAACUCCAGAACUGCCUUUGAUACUGGCGAUCUCGAGUCCGGGAGAGGUGAGUGGAACUGCGAGUGUAGAGGUGAAAUUCGUAGAUAUUCGCAAGAACACCAGUGGCGAAGGCGGCUCACUGGCCCGGUACUGACGCUGAGGUGCGAAAGCGUGGGGAGCAAACAGG
rnacentral:rRNA from 1 species